AACGAACGCUGGCGGCGUGCUUAACACAUGCAAGUCGAACGGAACGGCCCUGCUUUUGUGCGCUGCUCGAGUGGCGAACGGGUGAGUAACACGUGAGUACCCUACACCUGCCUGAGGGAUAACUUCAGGACACUGGGGCUCUUACCGCCUAGGAUCUCUUGCUGCAUGGUGGGGGCUGGUAAGAUUCGGCGGUUGGGAUUGGACUCGCGGCUUAUGAGCUUGAUGGGUGGGUAGUGUGUUACCAAGGCUUUGACGGGUAGCAUGCCUGGGCGGGUGACCGGCCACGUUGGGCUUGAGCUACGGCACAGACUCCUACGGUAGGCAGCGGUGGGGAGGAGUGCACAAGGGGCGGAGGCCUGAUGUAGCAACGCCGCGUCCGGUAUGAGGGCCUUCGGGUUGGAAACCGCUGUCGCUUGUGACGAGGCGUGAGUGACGGUAACGGGUGAAGAAGCACCGGCUAACUACGUG
rnacentral:rRNA from 1 species